AUCUACUUAAAUCAUAAACAAACAAGAAUUUUGUUAGGUUAGUUGCUUUUCAAAAUAAGAGAAGGUCUGAGGACGAUUCAAAUGAACUCUUGGGAUUUUUGGUAUUGGCACCACCUCAAUAUACCUUCAAAAAACAUAACCAUGCAACGUGACCGUAAGCCUAUUUAAUUUAUAACAACUUAGAUAGGUAUGUCUUGUUUUAUAACAAUUUUGUGUACUUUUUGUUUUGAAAAUUUCAUAUUACCUACCAUAUUAAAUAA